UGAGGAGCUCAUUCACCUUCUGAGUUUUGUAGUGCAAACAUCUAAAAUUGAACAAAAUUCGUUGUGCUUCAAAAUUUGAAAUGUAAAAAUGGACGUCGAUUUGGAAACAAUUGCGGGACCUUCGAUCAGAUUUGGUUAUAUAUAAAAGUGUCGGUAGAAGGAGAAAAGUAUCAGAGUUGAAAGUUUUGGACAUGUAGUUUGUUUUUUCUUUUUGUUGUUUUAUUUGGUUACCAAGAACACGUGAUAAAACAUAAACACAAACACAAAGACACGGUUAAAGAGAUUUUUUGCUGGCCUUGCAAGUUUUAACAUUGCUGGAAAAAUUUCUUUAUUGAAAAUUCAAAUGGGAUUUACCUUUAACAACGCCAAGUUCGCCCAUUUGAAGAUGGGCCUUAUUGGCAUUGGCAUCAUUGAGCAUUUGCAAGAAUGCCCAUAAGUAAUGGCAACAUUGAUUAGUUGUGGAGCAAGGUCCGAGGACGACGGGUUCCUUGUGUUUGCUCCGCUGGUUCAAAUCAGAUUUGGAAAAGAAGACGUCAUUCAAGUUACUCUGCAACACACACACACAUAAAAAUAUGAAACCAAGUUGGAGCUUAGGCUAAAAUUGCUCUUCUGCAUGAUUAUUAUCUUUAUAUAUUUAAUGUUGACACAGAUUAGAGGCCAGGAGGCUGCCGAUAUAAAUAUAUUUAAUAGUUUUUGUACAACGCUGACCCAAAAGUAUUGGAUUAACUAAAUUGGAGCAUGGUCCGAGCCCCAACUUGUGUGUGCUUCAUUUCCAAUUAGAAUGCAAAAACACAGGACUUUAAACAAAUGCUUAAAUCGAAUUGUUGCGAUAGAUGACAUUCCGAUCAAUAUAUAUCUUCGUGUGUAUAUAUAUAUAUAUAUACAAUUCCAAUUGACAAAGCAGGAGAGCAAGGUCCGAGGAGAAAAUCCCUUGUGUUUGCUCUCGGUUAAUAUAUAUAUCCGUUACAUAUUUUAUAUAUAUAUUUAUAUAUAUAUAACAUAUCACGUUGUUCUUCAUUGGUUACAACAAUAGCAACAGACUCUCUGCAACUUGUACAUAAAUACAUAAUCGAACGAGAGAACGACAACAGACAGAAACAAUUAUAUAAAGAAUUAGGAAGCCAGGAAAUACGCACACAACACAGACAACAUACAACACCACACACACACUAGAAACAAACCCCCAAAAUCACCCACCCCUCCCCCAAGAAUCACAAGAUCAGACAUCCCCCAGCCCCUACCCCCCUUAAAAAUCGAACGCAAUGGGGAUACUUGUUGAUAUUGGGGACAAUACAAGCGAAAAAUAUUUCAAAUUGAAUAAAAUUUUUAAAAAUUUAUAAACAUUUUCUUAAUCGUUGGUUGGGGGCACAGACUCGGCAACUGAUGCGCACAGUUGACGCGAAUUAUAAAUAUUUAUAAUAAUUUAUCUCCUGACGUCGUCGCAAAUUUUCAGUUCACAUCGCAGCAGCUGCAGCACAAAGCUACUCACGCCUGUGGAUUCGACUGCCCCCAGUAGUUCGAGAGUAGUUCGUCUUCCAGCAUCAAAUUUAUAUAUUUGUUAUAAAUAAUUAAAAUAAAUGAAAAAACAUGAGCUUAUGUAA
rnacentral:sRNA from 1 species